UUCCGGUUGAUCCCGCCGGACCUGACUGCUAUCGGAUUGAUACUAAGCCAUGCGAGUCAUUGUAGUAAUACAAGGCAGACGGCUCAGUAACGCGUAGUCAACCUACCCUAUGGACGGGAAUAACCUCGGGAAACUGAGUAUAAUGCCCGAUAGAACACUAUACCUGGAAUGGUUUGUGUUCCAAAUGAUUUAUCGCCGUAGGAUGGGACUGCGGCCUAUCAGUUUGUUGGUGAGGUAAUGGCCCACCAAGACUAUUACAGGUACGGGCUCUGAGAGGAGUAGCCCGGAGAUGGGUACUGAGACACGGACCCAGGCCCUAUGGGGCGCAGCAGGCGAGAAAACUUUGCAAUGUGCGAAAGCACGACAAGGUUAAUCCGAGUGGUUUGUGCUAAACGAACCUUUUGUCGGUCCUAGAAACACCGAUGAAUAAGGGGUGGGCAAGUUCUGGUGUCAGCCGCCGCGGUAAAACCAGCACCUCAAGUGGUCAGGAUGAUUAUUGGGCCUAAAGCAUCCGUAGCCGGCUCUGUUAGUUUUCGGUUAAAUCUGUACGCUCAACGUACAGGCUGCCGGGAAUACUGCAGAGCUAGGGAGUGGGAGAGGUAGACGGUACUCGGUAGGAAGGGGUAAAAUCCUUUGAUCUAUUGAUGACCACCUGUGGCGAAGGCGGUCUACCAGAACACGUCCGACGGUGAGGGAUGAAAGCUGGGGGAGCAAACCGGAUUAGAUACCCGGGGUAGUCCCAGCUGUAAACUAUGCAAACUC
rnacentral:rRNA from 1 species